GCAGUCGUGGCCGAGUGGUUAAGGCGUCUGAGUGUAAAUCAGAUUCCCUCUCAGGGGAGCGCAGGUUCGAAUCCUGCCGGCUGCG